GUUUUCCAUUGUGUGCCCUUAUGAACAGGAGCCAGGUCUGUAAGCCUAGCUAAGUCAAGGACCAGGGUUAAGGGUGCAUCAAGGAUUGGUCAGGCUCAGAGGUCAAGCCUGACAGAUUUCAUGCUUUAAUUUGGACUGUCAUGCUCUAGAUUACCACUGGAGAUGGAGAACUCUGAGUCAACCCAAAAAGGCUUUUUCUGUCCACAAGCUCUGAUGAGCAACAGCCCUCCAGCUCUGCUAUAGCUGAAGGCUAUCUGAACCAACAGAACUACACAAAGACCUGAGCCCUAGGACCAUGCCUCAGGACUACCUGGCAUGAUGACUCCUUGCUGUCCCCAGUCCACCUGGCCGUGCUGCUGCUCCAGUUUCAAUUGUUCUGCCUGCGGCUAUGUAACCCGGACCUGUUCACCGGACGUGCUACCUGUCCCAGACCUGCUGUUUUCAACUCUCUAAAGACAGAAGUAGCGGUAGAGAUACUCUGAAUGAUCGGCUAUGAAAAGCCAACUGACAUUUACUCUUGAGGUGCUGACUUGUUGCACCCUCGACAACUACUGUGAUUAUUAUUAUUUGACCAUGCUGGUCAUUUAUGAACAUUUGAACAUCUUGGCCAUGUUCUGUUAUAAUCUCCACCCGGCACAGCCAGAAGAGGACUGGCCACCCCUCAUAGCCUGGUUCCUCUCUAGGUUUCUUCCUAGGUUUUGGCCUUUCUAGGGAGUUUUUCCUAGCCACCGUGCUUCUACACCUGCAUUGCUUUCUGUUUGGGGUUUUAGGCUGGGUUUCUGUACAGCACUUUGAGAUAUCAGCUGAUGUAAGAAGGGCUAUAUAAAUACAUUUGAUUUGAUUCCUGGUUCUUUAUAAAAUGGCUGCUGUCAAAAUUAGCAGUGAAGAAGUGUGUGUAAUUAUGAAUGAUCAUUUUUCUGAGUGUGAUAUUCAAAUGUUUUCUAGUAAGUGAAUGUCUCAGGAAUAGUUAAGUCGUCAAGACUGUGUAAUAAUGUUUUCACAUUAAAUAAUAACUAUCAAGAAAUGUCCUCUGUAGUGGACACCCGGAUGCCGUAACAAUUUUUUUCACUUACUGUACCCAUUGACUAAUGUAUUUUUUUUCUUUCACAUUUUCGUCCUAAUGACCACUACAGAGGAAAAUGGUGCACUUUUAAUAAAAGAUAAAUAACAAUA
rnacentral:lncRNA from 1 species